rfam:Amycolatopsis mediterranei S699, complete genome.
CGCUCAUCCAGAGGGGCAGAGGGAACGGCCCGACGAAGCCCCGGCAACCGGCGUACAGCCUGUCAUCCCGCGAUCGCGGGAUAGCUGACGACCACGGUGCCAAUUCCGGCCCGCUUCGGCGGGGCAGAUGAGGA